rnacentral:rRNA from 1 species
UACGUAGGGUGCAAGCGUUGUCCGGAAUUAUUGGGCGUAAAGAGCUCGUAGGCGGUUUGUCGCGUCUGCUGUGAAAACUCGGGGCUUAACUCCGGGCCUGCAGUGGGUACGGGCAGACUAGAGUGCGGUAGGGGAGACUGGAAUUCCUGGUGUAGCGGUGAAAUGCGCAGAUAUCAGGAGGAACACCGAUGGCGAAGGCAGGUCUCUGGGCCGCAACUGACGCUGAGGAGCGAAAGCAUGGGGAGCGAACAGG